UUGGAGGGCAAGUCUGGUGCCAGCAGCCGCGGUAAUUCCAGCUCCAAUAGCGUAUAUUAAAGUUGUUGCAGUUAAAAAGCUCGUAGUUGAAUUUCGGGGUUAGUAGGUUGGUCAUGCCUCUGGUAUGUACUGGUCUCACUGAUUCCUCCUUCCUUAUGAACCGUAAUGCCAUUAAUUUGGUGUUGCGGGGAAUUUGGACUGUUACUUUGAAAAAAUUAGAGUGUUUAAAGCAAGCUAACGCUUGAAUACAUUAGCAUGGAAUAAUGAAAUAGGACGUUCGAUCUUAUUUUGUUGGUUUCUAGGAUUGACGUAAUGAUUAAUAGGGAUGGUUGGGGGCAUUAGUAUUCAAUUGUCAGAGGUGAAAUUCUUGGAUUUAUUGAAGACUAACUACUGCGAAAGCAUUUGCCAAGGAUGUUUUCAUUAAUCAAGAACGAAAGUUAGGGGAUCGAAGACGAUCAGAUACCGUCGUAGUCUUAACCAUAAACUAUGCCGACUAGGGAUCGGACGGUGUUAUUUUUUGACCCGUUCGGCACCUUACGGGAAAC
rnacentral:rRNA from 1 species